rnacentral:misc_RNA from 1 species
UCUCCGUUGGUGAACCAGCGGAGGGAUCAUUAUCGAGUUUAUAACUCCCAAACCCUAUGUGAACUUACCACUUGUUGCUUCGGCGCGCGCUUCGGUGCCGCCGAGGACACUUAAACUCUUUAUUUUUAUAAGCAUUUCUGAGUGGCCGAAAGGCAAAAUACAAAUGAAUCAAAACUUUCAACAACGGAUCUCUUGGUUCUGACAUCGAUGAAGAACGCAGC